rnacentral:lncRNA from 10 species
GUUAUCCUCAGGAAGCCCUGAGCGCUGAGAGGCACUGUUACAGAACCGAACUGGGGUCCACUCGCUAGGCCUACCUAGGUGCCUGGAAUUUCCCUUCGAGGAACGCAGGAGUUUUCUUUAUUUUCAUGCUUGGGAAGGCUCAUUAGGCCCCUAAGAGAGGGUCCCUUCCCCAUCUCAGGACUAAAAUGCAAUGAAGAUGUUGCUCAGAGGCAGCUGGAGAGGGAUGGGUCUGUGGAGGAUGCCCCGCAGAGUGAAGUCGAGAUGAUGCAGCCACCAGGGCCGGAGGGGAGGGACAUUCCACUUUUUAAAUCAGCUUUCUGAAGCAUGAUCUCCAUAUAAUCACCUAGAAGCGUACAGCACAAUGAUCUUGACAGAUGCCAGCAUCCUUGGAACCACUGCCACCACCAACGUCUCAAACCAUUCCAUCAAACCCAGAACACUCCUGGUGCCCUGAAGCGUCUCCCUUCAGUGGCAGAACCAGCAGAGAUUCAGUGGUCACAAGGUGAGUGAGGCGGCCUGGGUCUGGCUCCUGGCCAUUAAUUUUAAAUAAUUUGCAUUUAACUUUGAACCACC